AACGUAGGUGGCGAGCGUUAUCCGGAUUUACUGGGCGUAAAGCGUGUGCAGGCGGCUGACCAAGUGGUGUAUGAAAUAUCCAGGCUCAACCUGGAGGGGUUAUGCCAGACUGGUCAGCUAGAGUGCGAGAGAGGGGCGUGGAAUUCCGGGUGUAGUGGUGAAAUGCGUAGAGAUCGGGAGGAACACCUGUGGCGAAGGCGGCCACCUGGGCCGACCCUGACGCUGAGGCGCGAAGGCGUGGGGAGCGAACGGG
rnacentral:rRNA from 1 species